CGGAGGAUCCAAGCGUUAUCCGGAAUCAUUGGGUUUAAAGGGUCCGUAGGCGGUUUGGUAAGUCAGUGGUGAAAGCCCAUCGCUUAACGAUGGAACGGCCAUUGAUACUGCCAGACUUGAAUUACUGGGAAGUAACUAGAAUAUGUAGUGUAGCGGUGAAAUGCUUAGAUAUUACAUGGAAUACCAAUUGCGAAGGCAGGUUACUACCGGUGUAUUGACGCUGAUGGACGAAAGCGUGGGGAGCGAACAGGAUUAGAUACCCUGGUAGUCCACGCCGUAAACGAUGGAUACUAGCUGUUGGAAGCAAUUUCAGUGGCUAAGCGAAAGUGAUAAGUAUCCCACCUGGGGAGUACGAACGCAAGUUUG
rnacentral:rRNA from 1 species